UAGGGAAUUUUCCGCAAUGGGCGAAAGCCUGACGGAGCAACGCCGCGUGAGGGAUGAAGGUCUUCGGAUCGUAAACCUCUGUCUUCAGGGACGAUAAUGACGGUACCUGAGGAGGAAGCCACGGCUAACUACGUGCCAGCAGCCGCGGUAAUACGUAGGUGGCGAGCGUUGUCCGGAAUUACUGGGCGUAAAGGGCGUGUAGGCGGCCUUUUAAGUCAGAUGUGAAAUCUCAGGGCUUAACCCUGAAACUGCAUUUGAAACUGGAGGGCUUGAGGAUCGGAGAGGGCAGUGGAAUUCCCAGUGUAGCGGUGAAAUGCGUAGAUAUUGGGAGGAACACCAGUGGCGAAGGCGACUGCCUGGACGACACCUGACGCUGAGGCGCGAAAGCUAGGGGAGCAAACGGG
rnacentral:rRNA from 1 species